GGUGUGUCUUCACAUGGAAAAGGCCUUGGCCACAGUGAGGGACUGAGGGACACCGUUGUGAAGCCGAUUCAGGAAGACACCUGGCUCCUCUACAGAAGGAAACAGGAAGGGAGCAUCAAGGAUCUCACAGGGACACUCUGUGAUGCACGGGAGGCUUUCCCUGCACAUUCUUCUCUCUCUUUGCCACAAGCAGGUCACCAAAUACGUGCUAGAAUUGCACUUGGAAGGCUUCCUGGGGACACCUUCACAGAACUGUCUGCUACUGUGCAUAUACUCUAUUGUCAACUGUGCCUUUUCAUAUUUGCUUUUGUUCCCACCAUAGGGAAGCCAACAGGCUCAUUGACCAGCAGGCCCGAGAGCUGACCCGAUUGAGGCAGGUGUUGUGAGAGGGGAGAGAUGGCUCAUUUCUCCUCAAGCAGCACCUGCAGGCCAUCCUCCUCCAGGACAAUCCUGACAGCUGCCAGGGCCAAGACCUCCGUGAGCACCUGGCAGAGGGGCGCAGGCUGGCAGAGCACCUUGCCCGCACGCUCAGCCCAGAAAACCACGAAGAUCAGGAGGAGGAGAAGGAAGAAGAACCACCAGCCCCCAGGAUAGCUUUCUUUCUCUUCAAAAUGAAAGCCCCUUGCACUCUGUGGCCAGUCCUUCAUGCCUGUCAUCAGCACCGCCUUGGAUCUGGUGUCCAGUCCCUCUUGGUUUGGUCCUAUUCUUUAUCCCACGAGGUUGAGCAGUGUGGAGCAGGAGGAGAAGGUGAAUGGAGUCCUGCAGAGCCAGUUGGGUGAAGGCCACCUGACUUCUGCCAGUCACCGUGACCUGUGUGACACCGACCAGCCUCCCUGCACCGGUGCCAUCCUGUUUGAUGAGCAGGGAGUCUCCAGGGCACUGGAUGCAGCUAGUGAGUGCUCUGUUAUAAGGGAACGACUCCACAUUGUCCUGUGGGUAGGCUCCGUGCCUGCUGGGCUCCAUGGCAGGUUCAGGGUGGUGAACACAGGGCUCACAGAGUAGGGAGACUGAAGAAAUUGUGACAAACCACAGCCACCACUGACGCAUGUGCACACAGGUGUCUGCAGGAGUCCAUUCUUUGCAGAUGGGAUGUCUGUUGUCUCCUGCAAUGUCCUUUCUAAAUGCUGAUCCGAACAGCGUACUCUGAGCAUUAGUGACUGUCUGACUGGGUGGAUAUUCUUGCCUAUGUCUUUGGAGAUAGUGUUGACUCCUCAACUCUAGACCACGGUCUCUCUCUUCUCUAUGUUGACCUGUCCUUGAUAAAUGGCCGUCUAUCCACCAGAAUACAAACACCUCUUGAAUGAGUCUGGAAUUAUCCCUGAAAACAGGGCAGGGCCCUUGACACCCUCCGUAUCCUUGAAUGAAAAGUAUCCUGUUCUCUAAGUAGCAGCAAAGAUCUUUCCUAUUUGAGGGUAUGGAGAUUGCACCCACCAUCUGAUCUCAGUGGAUCAUCCCAUCUGUACCCAUAGCAACCACAGCAGCUGAUGGACUAAAGACGGCAUCUUGUAGCCACAUGUCUAGAGCCACUAGGCAAGCUCUUCCUGUUCACUGGGAAAAUAUGUUUCAUUGUUUGCCCAGACACAGGACAGAGGACAGUGUGACACUAAUGGACCAAUUCAGGGACAGUCUGCCCAGGGACUCAGAACAGGAAGCCUAGCCGCUUCUCAGAAGACAUAGCCUGAGGCCUUCUGGAAUAUUCUCCAGGGAAAACUGAUCUCACACCAGCAGUACUUUCCUCCAUGCAUUACACAGGCCCCUGGGUUUGUGUUGACCAUGAGGCAAGUACCUGUGGUGACUGGUCCUGUCUGACUGUAUUUGCAGCAACUCGAGGUGACAGCAACACACAGGAAGGACAAGAGCCCAUGGAGACUGG